CAGUAGCCGCGGUAAUACGAAGGGGGCUAGCGUUGUUCGGAAUUACUGGGCGUAAAGCGCACGUAGGCGGACAUUUAAGUCAAGGGUGAAAUCCCGGGGCUCAACCCCGGAACUGCCUUUGAUACUGGGUGUCUAGAGUAUGGAAGAGGUGAGUGGAAUUCCGAGUGUAGAGGUGAAAUUCGUAGAUAUUCGGAGGAACACCAGUGGCGAAGGCGGCUCACUGGUCCAUUACUGACGCUGAGGUGCGAAAGCGUGGGGAGCAAACAGGAUUAGAUACCCCUGUAGUCCCUGUCUCUUAUAC
rnacentral:rRNA from 1 species